CUUCGCCGAGAAAUAUGUUGACGGCGCAUACCACGAGAGGCACCUCUACCAGGACACAUCAUUGCAAGCUUCCCUUCUCGUCAAGCCUCAGAGGGAAGGGUACUACCAUGUGAUUGGGUUACUGAAUUUUACGCAUCGAAUUCAACCUCUUGUAAACAGCGAACGAUCAUCAGUUGGGAGAGGAGCGCACA
rnacentral:lncRNA from 1 species